GGUUCAUUGUGUCUGGGCAGCUGCGGAAGCUUACUCAGCUCCUUCUAUUGUACUAACAUCACAAUCGCAUGAUGGACUUCAUGUUUUUGAUGACUUCAGAGAGGCUUAUGCAUGGUUGAGCCACAAUACUGAUGUAGAUGAUAAAGUGGCAUCAUGGUGGGACUAUGGCUAUCAAACUACUGCUAUGGCCAAUCGCACUGUUAUAGUUGAUAAUAACACCUGGAACAAUACACAUAUUGCAACAGUUGGUACAGCCAUGUCCUCUCCUGAAAAAGCAGCCUGGGAGAUCUUCAACUCUUUGGAUGUAAAAUAUGUUCUUGUUGUCUUUGGAGGUCUUGUUGGGUAUCCCAGUGAUGAUAUCAAUAAGUUCCUCUGGAUGGUUAGAAUCGGUGGGGGUGUCUUCCCUCAUAUCAAGGAACCUGAUUAUCUGAGAGAUGGCCAGUACCGGAUUGACUCUAUGGCUACUCCAACCAUGCUGAACUCCCUCAUGUACAAACUGUCUUAUUACAGGUUUGUGGAGACAGAUGGCAAGGGGUACGAUAGAGUAAGGCGGACUGAAAUUGGAAAGAAACAUUUUAAGCUCACCCACUUUGAGGAGGUAUUUACCACUCACCACUGGAUGGUUCGGUUAUACAAAUUAAAACCUCCUAAGAACAGAAUCCGUGGAAAGACAAAGAAGUCUAAAUCGAAAGCUACUUCUUCUAGCUCGAGAAGAAGCGCAACUCAAAAGAAGAAUCCCUGGCAAUGAAGGGCUACUCAUAACAAGUAACUUCUAUUUAUCAGCUACAUGAUAGGAAUACUUCAUACGAUGAGUAGCUUCAUGUGAAAGGAUUGUGCUUUAAAACGCGGUCCUCUUAGGUUUUUCGUUCAAGUUUUGAAUUGCGUUGAUAUUAUACACAGAGAAGACGAUUAUCCCGGAGCUCCUUUUUUGAUAUAGACUUAGCAAGGAAUCACAUGUAUCUAUUGCUCAAUGCUCACUAGGUUCGUAUCAAUUAGUCUAUUUUCGAAAAUGCUCAUCUGAGUCCCAACACCCUAUAGUUGUAACUGAGACUUUUUGAAGUGUUAAAACUAUCAGCU
rnacentral:misc_RNA from 1 species